rnacentral:rRNA from 1 species
UCAUGCCGGUAUGGGCUCAUGGUGGAUGCCUUGGCGCAUGGGACCGAUGAAGGACGUUGGAGGCAGCGAUAUGCCCCGGGGAGCCGCCAGCCUGGCUUUGAUCCGGGGGUUUCCGAAUGGGGGAACCCACCCGCCGUCAUGGGCGGGUACCAUGCCGUGUGGCGUGGGGGGUACGCAGGGAAGUGAAACAUCUCAGUACCUGCAGGAAAGGACAUUCCGUGAGUAGUGGCGAGCGAAAGCGGAGGAUGGCUAAACCUUGUGCGCGCGAUACCCUCCGGGGGUUGCGCAUGGGGUGUCGUGGGAGCGUGCGUCCCGUUGCCGGAGCGGCGGGGCGGAGUGAUAAAACGGCGUGCCGGCCGAACAGGCUUGGAAGCCUGGCCGCAGUGGGUGAUGGCCCCGUAGGCGAAGGCAUGCCGUCUCCGUGUCAUGUUUCCCGAGUAGCGCGGGUCUCGUGGAACCCCGUGUGAAUCCGCCCGGACCGUCGGGUAAGCCUGAAUAUUCCCGUGCGACCGAUAGCGUACUAGUACCGUGAGGGAAAGGUGAAAAGCACCCCGGGAGGGGAGUCAAACAGAUCCUGAAACCGUGAGCCUGCGAACCGUCGGGGCCUGCCUUCGGGCGGGUGACGGCGUGCCUAUCGAAAAAUGAGUCUACGAGUCAGUGGCGUGUGGCGAGGCUAACCCGUGUGGGGGAGCCGUAGCGAAGGCGAGUCUUAAUGGGCGUUUGAGUCGCAUGUCCUGGACCCGAAGCGGGAUGAUCUAGCCCUGGGCAGGUUGAAGCGCGGGUAAGACCGCGUGGAGGACCGCACCCACCUGGGUUGAAAACCGGGGGGAUGACCUGGGGCUAGGGGUGAAAGGCCAAUCAAAUUCCGUGAUAGCUGGUUCUCUCCGAAAUGCAUUUCGGUGCAGCGUCGCGUUCUUGCCUGGCGGGGGUAGAGCUACUGGAUGACCGAGGGCCCGUUGCGGGUACCGACCUCAGCCAAACUCCGAAUACCGUUCAGGUUUCAUCGCGGCAGUGAGUCGGCGGGGGAUAAGCUCCGUCGUCGAAAGGGAGACAGCCCAGACCGUCGUCUAAGGUCCCCAAGCGUGUGCUAAGUGGGAAAGGAUGUGGGGUCGCAUAGACAGCCAGGAGGUUGGCUCAGAAGCAGCCAUCCUUGAAAGAGUGCGUAACAGCUCACUGGUCUAGUGGUCCUGCGCCGACAAUGUAGCGGGGCUCAAGCACACCACCGAAGACGCGGCAGCGCCUGUUGGCGCUGGGUAGGAGAGCGUCCCCCCGUGGGCGAAGCGGCGGCGUGAGCCUGCCGUGGACGCGGGGGGAGUGAGAAUGUAGACAUGAGUAGCGAGACGCGGGUGGGUAUCCCGCGCGCCGGAUGACCAAGGGUUCCAGGGCCACGCUUGUCGUCCCUGGGUGAGUCGGGUCCUAAGGCGAGGCCGACAGGCGUAGUCGAAUGGAUAAAGGAGUGGAUAUUCUCCUACCGGUUCGCGACCGUCCGGUCCGAGACCGUUUCCGAUGCAUGGGCUUGCGUGCCGUGGGUUGCUUCGGCUUCCCGCGUGCGUGGGUUGCGUGCGGCUGGGGCGGCAGUAGGGCAGCACUGGGGUGACGCGGGGAGGUAGCCGGCCGCGGAGGUGGUUUUCCGUGGCCAAGCGUGCGGGCCGUCCGGCAGGCUAUCCGCCGGGCAUGUGGCCGAGGCGCGACGGUGGGGCCCUUUCGGGCCGAAUCCGGUGAUCCUCCCUGCCGAGAAAAGCCUCCGUGCGAGGGCGCGUGCCGCCCGUACCCGAAACCGACACUGGUGGUCUGGUAGAGCAUACCAAGGCGAUCGGGCGAAUCCUGGUCAAGGAACUCGGCAAAACGCUCCCGUGCCUUCGGCAUAAGGGAGGCCCCCUCGGGUGAGGCCCCAUGCGGGCGGAGCCUUGGGGGGCGGCACAGGCCAGGGGGUAGCGACUGUUUACCAAAAACACAGGUGCAUGCGAAGGCGCAAGCCGCUGUAUAUGCACUGACGCCUGCCCGGUGCCGGAAGGUUAAGAGGAUCCGUCAGCCCUUGUGGCGAAGCGGUGAAUUCAAGCCCCGGUAAACGGCGGUGGUAACUAUAACCAUCCUAAGGUAGCGAAAUUCCUUGUCGGGUAAGUUCCGACCUGCACGAAUGGCGUAACGACUUCCCCACUGUCUCGACCAGGAGCCCGGCGAAAUUGCAGUACGAGUAAAGAUGCUCGUUAAGCGCAGAAGGACGAAAAGACCCCGGGACCUUUACUAUACCUUGGUAUUGGCGUUCGGUUCGGAUUGUGUAGCAUAGGCGGGAGGCUUUGAUCGUGGGGCGCCAGCCCCGCGGGAGCCGCAAGGUGAAAUACCGUUCUGUCCGGAUUGGACGUCUAACCUCGAUGAGUCAUCCUCAUCAGGGACAGUGCCUGGCGGGUAGUUUAACUGGGGCGGUUGCCUCCCAAAGAGUAACGGAGGCGCGCAACGGUCCCCUCGGCCCGUUUGGCAAGCGGGUGUCGAGUGCAAUCGCACAAGGGGGCUUGACUGCGAGGACGGCGGUCCGAGCAGGGACGAAAGUCGGUGAUAGUGAUCCGGUGCCGGCGCACGGGCGCGGCAUCGCUCAACGGACAAAAGGUACCCCGGGGAUAACAGGCUGAUCAUUCCCAAGAGUCCAUAUCGACGGGAUGGUUUGGCACCUCGAUGUCGGCUCGUCGCAUCCUGGGGCUGGAGCAGGUCCCAAGGGUUCGGCCGUUCGCCGAUCAAAGCGGCACGCGAGCUGGGUUCAGAACGUCGUGAGACAGUUUGGUCUCUAUCCUCUGCGCUCGUUGGAAUCCUGGGGAGCCCUGCCCAUAGUACGAGAGGACCUGGGUGGACGAACCUCUGGUAUGCCGGUUGUCGCGCCAGCGGCACGGCCGGUUGGCUACGUUCGGUUGGGAUAACCGCUGAAAGCAUCUAAGCGGGAAGCCCCCUCCGAGAUUAGGAUUCCUUGGCGCCCUCGGGGCGCCGUGAGACCCCUUGUAGAACACGAGGUCGAUAGGCCGGACGUGGAAGCCCCGCGAGGGGCGGAGCGGACCGGUACUAACGGUCGAACGCAUGAACGA